AUCUUCCCUCAUUCCUGUGUAGCAGCGGUCGCCAACCGGUGUUCAGCGGACCACUAGUGGUCCAUGAAGUCCGAAAGGUUGGCGACCACUGACCUAGAGG